GAACAUCUGAAGGGCUAUCUAUCAAGGGAGCUCAACGGAAAAGCUUAUCUCGACGCCAUGAGGGUUCAGAACAACGAAACCUAGAAGUGCCGAGUUCUAUCCAUUGAGUAUGGAUGUGAAAAUGGUGAUACGUGGAAUGGUGAUGCAACCUGAUUAUAUGAUAUCGGUUUGAUAUUUAGGGAGGUCCUUUUUGAGAAAGACAAUAAUGACUUGAAAAAACUUCUUGUGAUUCUCAUCUAUUGCUUGUCUGAACUAUCAAACAGUCUUGUAAAAUCCAAGGCAUUGAUUUUUUGCUCCGCCCUUCUGUUUUUUUUUCAUUUUAGUAGAGCGAUGAAUGUUCAUCCUCCUGAUCCCCAGCUAGCGCCAAACCGAAAUUCAUGAGACUAUCGCUUGCAUCUUACCUUAUUGGAUUUAUAUGGUGUACGGGUAUUUUUUCAGUUUGGACUAACUUAUUUGAGGGGGUUUCCUUGUCAUUGAAAGACUAAAGAAGAUAGUAAUAGACUAGACCAAAUUUGAAACUCAAAACAGCUAUGACGAGUGCGACCUGACAAGUGGCGGACUGCAAAGACCUCGUGUGGCAAAACUAUUGGGUUUUACAAUUACCCUACUUUUUCUACAAGUAAGCCCCCUUGAUAAAUAAACAAUAGAUUCUUUAAAUUAAUGAAUUACAAAUAUCAUGCGAGCCAGACUCGUAUCAGAAAAUUGUCCACAUUUAAUGGCGUGGAAAAUUAAAGUAAUGUCAUCGAUCAAAAAAAAAAAAAAACUAAAGUAAUGUCAUGCAAGUUAAAGUAUACAUUUAUUUAUUAAUCAUUAAGGAAACCCACCAGGAUCACAAUUCUACCUAUAUGCUCUCCUUUGCCAAAUCAUUUUCUUUUCAAAAGGGCAAGAUUUAGCUGCAGCAAGGUUGCAGCGUUAACGUUGCUACCAAACACAUGGUGUAUGUUCGCAUAACCUUUAAAUUAUCCGCAAGCAGAUCGAACCUUAGUAAUCCACUCUAUCAAAAAAUCUGUAAUCUUUGUUCUACUCACCCCAGUCACUCUCUUCUCUGCCUACUGUCUGUCGCGGCCGCCGUCCGCCACGCCAGUCUUGGCCCCCCUGAGCUCCACUUCAUCGCCAAGAUCAUCUCUAUUGGCGUUGCUGAUGAAGGCUCUCCACUGUCUCACGACCCUCUCUCCCGUGCACAAGGGCAGCAUCUCACCGUAGGUAGCUUCGUACAUGGUGAAGCAACAGCGAUUUCACCGUCUUUUGUCAACGAAUUUGUGGCUAGGAGAUAGGGAGGGUUUCUUGAGAAGGUGUUUGUUGACACUUUUGGUGACUCAAUUGGUUAUUAACUGCAUAAAAAAGUUAGGGAUCAAUCCCGACCCCCAAACAAAAUUUUUAGUUAAAACUACACAUAAAUUUUAAAAGCAUUGAUAGUAAUAAGCCCACCUAAUUGCAUUUCCAUUGGACCAGCGAUGGAUUGAUUUGAAUAGAAGAUUUCGAGCAUAAUUGGAUUGAUUGGACUAAGCUGGUACAAAUUAAAAUUUUGGCCAAGUUCAUUAAUAAUUUAAUAUGGCCAACAUUUUGCGUAUGAUAUGCAAGGAGGUUGUAGGUCGGCAUAUAUUGAAACCUAGGACCUUAAUAUCCUAAACUACAACAUCUGAAUUCUGGUGGGACGUAAAAUUUGGGGUAUUACACUGGGAGGGAAAAAAGUUUCUCUAAUUAGGCUGAAGCGUUUGGGUAUCGACACGUUAAAAUUAGGUCGAGGCGUGUGGGUAUCGACAUGUUAAAAUAAGGAACAUCAUUUUAUCAGCCCAUCUACUGACAUGUGGGGCAUCUACUGACAUGUGGGGCGACCCUUAGUGAAGUUUUGGAGCUCCUACGUUGUGGGGAGUUUCCGAGCUCCUACGUUGUGGUGAGGUACGCAUUAACCACCAAAGAUCCACAACUCGAGAAGAGGCUCAACAUACGUGGUUCAAGAUUGAGAGCAAAGGGUCUUCACGUUCUCCACACGCAAAAAAGCCAGAGGAGAAAAACAAAAGAAAAGAGAGGGAAAGAAAGACCCACUUCCGUUGCUGCAACAUCCACGAUUCGCACAGAGAGAACAAGUAACAACAGUGAUAUUCUUGCAGUUCUCGGACGUGUCUUGCAUCUUCACAUCCGCACACCUCGUCGCUCCAUACGCCAGACCGGCAAGUCUCCGAGCAUUCCUUAGCAACGCUGGCGGCAAGCCUCAACGCACCAGUGAUCGUUGACCCACCUGCACCUACUGGCCACGUCAGUGUCCUGUGUCCUCGCCGGUCACGCCCAGUAGCUGUUCCCUCUCAACUCCAGUCCACGACCUGCGAUACUCAACAUAAAUUGGCAAAGUAAAUAUUCUUACAAUUAUUAUUAUUAUUAUUAUUAUUAUUAUUAUUAUUAUUAUUAUUAUUAUUAUUAUUUACAUCAUUACUACUGUCAAUAGUACAUGUUGUUCCAAAAAUGUUAACCAGAACUUAGAGGUUAGCAGAAAUCCAAAUGAAUUAAUAAAUUCACAAAAUAACUAUAAGACUUCCUCUGAGUGUUAUAUAUGGAUCACCAAAAAUGUCUCAACAAUGCAUACUCAAUACAAAAUAUGUAAUCAAUUUAAUUAUGCAAUAAAAUACUAUUUAAUAAUUAUAUCAAAAGCUAUGCAUGAAAAAUUCAAUCAUUGCAAAAGAGACAUUAUAAUCUUUAACCCAUAAAUUUGUGACUAUUAUAAAUUGUAAACCUCUUUGGUUGUUUCAAACAUAAGUGUGAAACUAAUAAAUUCAGGAAUAAAAUCACGACAAUUUUGACAAGAAAAAUGUUUGGACUAAAACUUUAGUAGUCAUAAAUAUAAUGCCAACAAUGUUUUACACAUGUAAAACUCAAAGUAGACUUUAACUCUUUUAAGCAACAUUUAAAUGACUAAAAUGUGAAAUAUAAAUAUAUCACAAAAGGCAGGAUGCAAAAGGCAUACUCACUAAAUUGUUGAUUGCGCUAAUUUAGUCAUAAAAGUAAUUAAUGACAAAUAUUGGGGUGCAUCAUUAGUCAAUUGAAUAGUUGUCGCCCAAUUAUUCUCUCAACUUGUACUUGCUAAAUUGGGUCUCCAUUCCCCUUCCAUCAAGCAUAAUUCCACAUCGUCAAGAAGGCAAGAAUCUACCACAAUUCUAAUACUAGAGAAGUUCUAUAUGUGCUUGAACAAGAGAGAAUUAUCAUAUCUUCAUGUAUUUAUCAAACAUACACAUUGUCAUGCAGCAAAUACCAACACAUGUAUGAGCAUAUACAUAGAUAGAGGCCCAUGCUGCACUCCCAAGCAAGCAUGAAUAAAGAUAUGCCACCAAAUACCAACACAAGCUCGUGUCUACACUUACUUAAGCAUAUUGGCAUGGACAUCACCAAUCGACUAAUGAUUGUAUGCACUCUAGCAUAUUCCCAAGAAUGAUGGGACAACACUAUGAGGAAUACUAGAGAAUUUUGUUCCAAAGUCAAAUGACACCUAUUUUCAAAAUUUAUAAGCAUAAUAAUGUAAGGUAAAAAGAGCGUAAUUCUAGUGGUAAAACAUAGAAAUCCCACAUGACAGCAUCCAUUGUUUCGCUGAAAAUACUUAUAUAUAACCUAGUCCGACAUGGGCAAGCUCGAUAAGAUUUUGUAGAGGUGGAGGCAAAGACAAGUUAAAUAGCAAAUAAAAACAGUUAUAAACUGGCUUCAUAAAUGUACAUUAAACAAAUUUUAGCAUGAGAAUAGGAAGAAUUAAGGACAAAUAGAAACUAUUUUGAGUAAUAGCGAAGUGCCCCAAUUUCCAAUCCUAAAUGGAUGAUUAUUAAAAUAAUCACGAACUUGAGAGAGAAAACGCCUACACACAUCCAACUUUCUAUUGGAAAAAAAAGUAUAGGUAUUGAAGUCCCAAAAUAAAAAUAAAUAUAUAAAAGAAAUAUUAGCCCAAUUUCUUUCCAUUUCUUUUAUGGUUUUCCUUUUCUAUUUCUUUCUAAGUAGCCACAUGGAAUCACUAUGCCAUUUUUAAAGAUUUUCUAAAUAGGUAAUUUUGAAAAUCUGUAAGCCUCUUCCGUAAAAGUAUAAGAGCACACAUUCAUGGAAUAUGUCUAACAAGAUCAAAUCAAAUCUAAAGAGAACACACAAGCUCGUGACGCCAAAUUUCAAAUGUUAGAAUGAAAGGAUCUCGACCUAUGUGAUGAUGAUUUCUCAAAAUGUGGAAACAACGCGCCAAAAUGGCAAUUACGCCCUUCAAGCAUUAAUUUAGAGUUUCCAAAAAACAACUUUACUUGAAACUCAAUGACCUUACCAGAACAACCAAAAGCUAUUUUGUGUUAAUGCUUGAUACCGUCCCAUGAUGAACCACCCAAGAAUAUGUGAUUCUUGCCCUUCACCAUCUUCAAAUCCUUGUUCAAUUCCAAGGUCGGUGGAAGCACCAUCAAUUCCAAUUUUGAAAGCUAUAAGGCAAUUAUCCUUAAGAUCGUUGGAAAAAGUAUUAGAAUACAUAAAAUAAUAAUAAUUAUUGGAAAUACAUUACAAAAGAUUAGAAAAUAAAAGAAAUGUAUGAGGCAUGCAAACACUAUCCUUAAGGAUAAUUCCAUCCCUCGAAGUAAGAAACUCGGUUCGUAAGGCUUCAACGGCUAUCCUCCCAAGAUACAACAGACCUUCCUCUAUACUCCGCACUGAAUAUUAGAAUGAAAUAAAACAACUUUUAUGUAUAACCCCACAAAAAGAAAAGGAAAGAUAUGAGAACACGUUGUAUCUACAAGGAUUGUGGUUUGAAGUUUAAUUUAUAUCGAAACAAGAAAAAGAGAGAGUCGUUAGGAGAUUGUCAUAAAUCAAUUGGUAAUUAAAAAGAUGACCGUUAUAAAAUAAUGAAGAGUUUAUGAAGUAAUAAAUCAAAAGUUGUAAAGAUGUUAGACGACCGUUAUACAACCAUUAGAAAGUCGUUAUAUGACCGUUAAAAAGCCGUUACAAAAAUGAUGACUUUCAUGACGAUCAUAAUUUCUGAUAAAUAUUUCAAAACUACUAAAAUAUCUAACAUGCAGAAGAGAACUAAUAAACCCUAGACAACAAUCAAACACAGGGAUAGUAAAAGUAGGACAACCAAUUAUUACAAACCACACUUUAUAAACAAACCGAGUUAGUCCUACAAGCUAAUGUACAAAAGGUCUAUCUCAAAAAAAGAGACUACUAAGCCACCUACUCUCUAGACCUUUCAGCCUCUGGCUUCGAAUCCUCCAUGACACCAUCCAGGAUGUUGAUGUCCAUGGGGUCAGCCACCUCCCUAUUCUCGGUUUCGACAGUAGGUCCGUCAAAAACCUACAAAGGACUCUUCUGGGCCCCGUUAAUCGCAUUAAGGAACCAUGCCUUGAAGCAAUGAGGUACCAAGUGAAGGAGGCCCUCAUUGACCCAAACCGUGGUCAUCACUAACUCACGAGUCAAAGCGGUCCCAAUAAUAGGGAAAAAAGUGGACUCAUAGUCCAUAUCCAAUGGAACCCCAAAACGGACCGGUCGCCUCUCCAUACUAAGGAUGUGAAAAUAUUUAACUACAAUGGGGUGAGAUAAAAUCUCAGUGAGUCAAAAUCCAAAACUUCGAUAAGGACGCAAAUCCAUCUAGAUGUAGCCAAAAUAGGCAUCACACAAGACUUACCUCACCUCAGCACGUUUUUGCACAUUAGUACAUCACAUAUAUAUUUAUCGACGCAAAAGGCGUAAUCAAUAACUGGAAUACAUCAUUUUCAUAUAUCAAUCAAUCAUAGGGGUUCCGAUUAUAAGGUAAAAUCGUCAUGACAUGUCUCAUUCCAUGCCACAUAAUUUUAUCUCAUAAUAAGGCGCAGCUAUCUCAAUCACUCAAGCAUAUCCCAAUUAUUAUGACCCAUCGACCACAGCCAACUCAACAGUUGGCAGUCAUCCGACAUAACCGGGUGUUGUCCCACUCCGCCAGGCACAGCAACGUCUACACCUAUACAGUAUUCCAUAAAGGACCAUUAGCCUAGCCUCCACUACGACCGGCAUCUGUUGAUGUGGGGCAUCCUGAGAUAGCUAGUAUAAGUACCUAGAGGGGGGUGAAUAGGUGUAAAAAUAAUUUCUCGAGAUAAGAGAGCAAUACUAAGCAGACAAUAGAAAGGAAGUUCUCCUUUGGUUAACAAAAUGAAUUAUGAUCAAAGUAAAACAGAGAGUAGGGAAGAGAAAAUUGAACACAAGUUUUACAGUGGUUCGGCUUAUUCUAAGCCUACGUCCACUCUUCCGCACUGAUAGCCCACCGGCUGGAUUUCACUAUGAACAAAAGAGAUGUUACAGGGGCGCCAUAUUCUAGGAGCCCAAACUAUGUGAUUGAAUAAGUCCUCCUCUAUCUGUUGCGGGUCGAAGACUUCAACAGUGUAGAUAUUCUACUACACUUCCUCAAGGUUUCUCACGAAUAUAGACUCUCUUUUGCGUACAAGAUUUCGCUUAGCAAAGGAAUUGACUAAGAACAAGGAGCUUCAGACUUUGAAAUUCUUCUAUCGCGCACCCUCUCGAACAACUGGAACGUCUUUCUUAUAUACUUUAUGCCAUCAUACCCGUUGGCACUUACCAAAGGAAUUCCUCCAAUCUACCCGUUGGACGGAAUCAAUUAGAAAGAUCAUUCGAGCUAUUAAAGGAACAUGUCGAUAGCCCAUUAAUCCUGCUCGCCUAUACAAUCAGGAUCUCGGUUUCCAUAAGUAGAACCUUCCAAAUAUACUUCGCCAAUCAUUGAAUCCUUAAUCAAUCUUGAUUCGAAUAAAGGAAUCUGUUAUGUCAUAUCCAGCCAAGAGAUCUUCUCCAGUCGAUAAGGUCAAAUCCUUAAUGAAACACCCAAUUCUGGAUAGUCCUUUUUCAACGGAUUAGAAACUGUCAAUGAUAAUAGACUUUGAGUCUUGAGUUUGGUAGUCCGAAGGUCUUCAGACUUUAAAUAGCAGAGUCUGCAAAUCUUCAGACUAGACUAAUGGAAACGUUUUGUCAGCUUCAAAAUACUCCAGGAAGAUUUCUCCAGCAAUCUCCCCCUUUUUGAUGGUGACAAAACUUUCCUGCAGAUUUGGAUAACUUUGACCUGCAAAACAUUACUCAAGCAAAUAUGGAUAUCUCAUAAAGAUAAAUGGCUUAAUGAUGACACUAGAAUCUGCAACCACAGAAAAUAGGUUAGUCUUUCAUGUGAGUAAAGCCAUUCAUAAGAUAUCAAUAGCACUUAAUAUAAGCAGUCAAACCCAAAUCCAAAUUCAGUUCACAUCCAGACACAAAAGUCAAGUCAAACAAAACAAACAUCAAAAUAAAUCAAAAGUUCAAGUUCAAAGUUUUCAAAUCUUGCAUCUCUCCCCCUUUUUGUCAUCAUAAAAAAACGGUUGAGAUGGAAAGAGAAUGGAUUCAGGAAUGCUUGGGAACACGAACAAGCUGAAAAUCUCCCAUUGACUGGACAAUGCCUUCUAGCUUUUUCAACUCUUCCUUCAGUUGAGCGACCUCUUCACCCUUAGCAUUUGCUUGAAUCUGAAGAGAAAGGGCUUGGAUCUGAUCAUUCAAAGAAACUAAAGAAGCUUGACUUGUAUUCUGCAAAUUCUGAACUUCGCAUCUCAGAGCAUAUAUCUGACCCCGCAUUUCUAAGAGAACAUCAAGAAUUCUGCGAAAAUCUGCUGAAUUAUCAGUCUGCGUACUGGCUUCUGCACGAUCAGAUGGAGUAAAGGCAAACGAUGGCAAAUCAGCAUAGUCACGCAGAUUGGGCGAUGAAACAUCAUGUCCCUCCUCAGGAAAGUGAGAGGCGUAUAUGUCAUCUGAAUCUGCUGGAGAGCGACUGACUCCCUCACUGGUAGCAGGAUAUGAGGACAUUCCUCUUUUCUCAAGGUCUCCCCCUGUUUCCAUGCCUCCAAGUGGAGAAGAGUGUUCCUCAUGCUCUCCUUCUUCUUGAUUUCCUCUUUCCUCCUCUGCAUCUCUUUCUUCAGCUUCUCUCUCCUUUGUUUCUUUCUCCUCUGCUUCUUUCUCUUCAUCUUCUCUUUCUCCAGUCCUUUGUUCUGAGUCUUUCUCUUGCUGUUUCGUUGAUUCUGGAACAGAACGACUCAGGUUCUUCAAUGCCAUUGCAAAAAUGGUGAUGUCUUCCUCAUCAUCUUCAUCCUCAACGAUGAGAGCUCUUCUUUUCUUGGAUGGAGCAACCAUGGGCUCCUUCCCUUUUCUCUUUGCAGCUGAAGAGGUUUGAUGAGUUUUGAUAAAGGUUUUCUCCUUGAAUUUCUCCAACGCCUUGUUGAGUUCAUUUAGUCACCAUUUUCAGUCCCACCACCAUUUGAUCACAAGAUCGAGUACAGAAAAUUCAUAGAGGCUGAAUAUUCAGAUGUCUAAAUAACUUUGUCACAAGAGCUGGAUAAGGAAGUUGACCAUUGUCCUUCACCACUGCUCUAUACAUGUGGAGCAUAAUAGUGUGAGGAAGAGAAAACUUUUUCCCAGCAAUGAUGGCAUACAUCAGCUUUGCCUCUGAGUUUGAAACAUUAGUCUUUGAAGUAGAUUUUGGUCUGAGGCAAUUAAUGACAAUCUUGUGAAGCAGAAUGUUAACUGCACUCAUCCUCAAGUAGGAAAUCUUUUCCUCUAUUCUUCUAUCCUUAACAAGUUCCAACGUAGCACGAGCAAUAGAGACAUUGAUAGGUUGAUAUCUCCCUCUCUCAACCCCAAUGACAUCAGCCAACAUAUCUACAUCCACCACAAAGUCUUGAUCUCGGACACUAAAAGAGAAUCUAUUCGCAUCCAAGAAAUUGAUAUUCGAAUAGAAAUAUGCAGUGAAUUCAGCAUAGGCUUUUGUAGAAUCAAAACAAAACUGCUCAAGUUGAAGAAGACUGAAUUUUUCCCUCAAAUUGACAUUCACAGCAUCAAGGAAAUCAAAAUCCACACUUUUAGGGUUUAUCACCCCACGCUUCAACAACUUAGAGUAUAAAAGCUUUUGUUCCUCCGAUCGAAACAAGUUUGUCCUUUUUCCCUGAAUUUUUGCCGCAACACCCAUUCUCGGUUGAAACUGACUGUACAUCUUAUCAUCAUCAUUCCCAUUUGGCUGAUUCAGCCCUCCAACACGCGAAUCACUUGGGAUAUUAGCAAGGGUUUCUUCUGCCAACCCCGCAUGGGCAAUUCCCAAACGCUCCAUAUUUCGUAAAAAGAUGUACUCAUUUUCAUACCCUUUGUCCUUAAGAAACUCAUCGAUGUAGUUCAAUGGAGUUCCACCUCUUUUCAAAGCACGAUAAAGCUUGUAAAUAAAAGAGGGCUUUUGAAUUCUUACAGGAUCUGCACCUUCGAUGAUUUCUUCAUUUUCUCGAUGAACAUCAUCAUGUGGACUAGAUGGAGGAGAAUGACGCUGCUGAGAAUGUUGUGGGCUCUGCUGCUGACUGGGAGACUCUUCUUCCUCGGUGAGAUCAAAGUGCGUAGGCCCCUCACGCAUUUGCGGUCCCCUGCUUGCAAUCCUCGAAGACUUCCUUUGAGACGACAUCUUUCACAGUCUUUGAAAGAUUCCAAGCUUGACUUUCCCAAGAAAGAUGACAACUUUUUCGAAGAUUAAACAAGAGAAGAAAACAGGAGUGGAAGAUCGAUGCUUUUUAGGGUUUUUGGAGUAAAACGGAGAAGAAACAACAAUAUAUAAGAUAGUCGAAGAGAGACAUACGAAGCGUCGUAAUGGAAAGUAAAAAGAUGCCCUUUAAAAAUAACUGCCUUUUUUAAAAAUGAAUAGAUAACUGCCAUUUUAAAAAUUAACUCCUUUUUGAAAAAGAAAGAUUGCACUUAUCACGGACAUUUGAAAGUAGCAAAAAUCAAUUAUAGAUAGAUGAUUGUACCUUUCCGAGAUUUAAUAUGAGAGAGAAUAAUUUACAGUCAAAAUCUUGUUUGUCUGAGUCUGAGAGUCUCUAGACUUUAACUUCUUCAAACCUCAAAAUGUUGAGUCUGGAACGGAUGAUUUCAAAUUGAUUUUUCUCCAAAGGCUUUGUGAAUAUAUUCGCCAGUUGGUUCUUUGAGUCAACAAACUGAAUCGAAACUUCUCCAUUUUGAACAUGAUCUCUAAUGAAGUGAUGUCGAAUCUCUAUAUGCUUUGCUCUUGAGUGAAGAAUUGGAUUUUUGGUGAGAUUGAUUGCGCUGGUGUUGUCACAGUUAAUCUCCAUGCAUGAAUCUUCAAUUCCAAAGUCUCUUAGUUAUUGUUUUAUCCACAGAAUUUGUGAACAACAACUUCCAAGAGCUACAUACUCUGCUUCUGUAUUUUGCUUCCUUGAAAACCAUGACAUUGUCCUGCUUCCAAGUAGUUGACAGGUACCCGAGGUGCUAUUUCUAUCAACUCUACAACCAGCUAGAUCUGCGUCUGAGUAUCCAAUAAGAGUAAAGUCUCCCUUUUUAGGAUACCAAAGACCAAGACUUGAAUUUGAAGCAAUGUAUUUGAUAAUACGCUUUGCAGCACUUAGAUGAGAUUCUUUAGGGUUUGCUUGAAAUCUAGCACAAAUGAAAACACUAAACAAAAUGUCAGGUCUAGAAGCAGUAAGAUAAAGAAGUGAACCAAUGAUACUCCUGUAUAACUUCUGGUCAACUUUCUUUCCUCCUUCAUCUUUGUCUAUCUUCAAAGAACUUGAGAUUGGUAUGUCAAUCUUUUUGCAAUUUUCCAGUCCAAACUUUUUGACAAGAUCAUUAGCAUAUUUUUCUUGAUGAAUAAAAGUCCCUUCCUUCAAUUGUUUCACUUGAAGUCCAAGAAAGAAGGUUAGUUCACCCAUCAUGCUCAUUUCAAAUUCAUCCUGCAUAGACUUAGAGAAUUUCUUGCACAAACUUUCAUUAGAGGAUCCAAAAAUAAUAUCAUCUACAUAUAUUUGAACAAGUAGAAAACUUUUGUUUUCUCUUUUAAUAAAUAGAGGAAUGUCUACUUUACCUUUAACAAAGCCAUUUUGAAUUAAAAACUUACUCAGCCUAUCAUACCAAGCUCGAGGUGCUUGCUUUAAACCAUAUAAGGCAUUUUUCAGUCUGAAUACUGAGUUUGGUUUCCUUGGGUCUUCAAACCUAGGUGGUUGUUCCACAUAGACUUCCUCAUGGAUAAAUCCAUUCAGGAAAGCACUUUUGACGUCCAUUUAGAAUAACCUGAAAUUCUUAUAACAAGCAAAAGCAAGUAAUAAUUGAAUUGCUUCUAACCUUGCUACUGGUGCGUAAGUCUCGUCAUAGUCUAUCCCUUCUUCUUGCGUAUAUCCCUUGACCACGAGUCUUGCUUUGUUUCUUACGACCUUUCAUUUCUCGUCCAUCUUGUUCCUGAAAACCCAUUUAGCUCCAAUAAUAGAUUUACCUUUUGGUUUAGGAGUCAACUCCCAGACAUCAUUAAUGCUGAAUUGCCUGAGUUCUUCUUGUAUAGCUUCAAUCCAGCUUUCAUCAGAUAAAACUUCUUCUAUGCUUUUGGGUUCUAUUUCAGAAAUAAGAGCCACAGCACUAGACUCUUCACGCCUUUUGGAUCUUAUGCGAAUUCCUUCAUUAAUGUCGCCAAUAAUGAGAUCUUUGAGAUGACUGAACUUAUGCUUCCAGUUACUGGUUGAUUUGUCAGGUUGAUGAUCACUUUCUUCAUUUGAAUCUUCAAUAAUCACUUGUUGCUGAUCUUUUAAAGUCUGAGCUACUUCUCGAGAUUUAGAUUUUGUAGAGUCUGGAGCAAGCUCAGAUUCUUCAAGAUGAGUCUGAAUAGAUUCAUUUUGCAUAGAAUCUUGGAAUUUGACAUUCAUUGAUUCCUCCACAGAUUUAGUCUUUUUGUUGUAGACUCUAUAGGCUUUGCUUGAAGUUGAAUAUCCAAGGAAGAUGCCUUCAUCUGACUUUUCUUCAAACUUGCCAACUCGAUCAUUUGCAUUUUUCAAUAUAAAGCAUUUGCAUCCAAACACAUGAAAAUAUGAAACAAUAGGCUUCUUUUCUUUGAAUAACUCAUAGGGGGUUUUUUACAGAAUAGGCCUUAGAAAAACUCUAUUAAUGAUAUAACUUUUCCACCAUUUACUUGAACGAGCUUUAUGAAACAAUUUGAAUCUCCUAUCAUAUGUCUUGAGCAUCCACUAUCCAGAUACCAUUUUACCUUUUUUCUUGAUAGUGACCUGCAAUUAAAAAGAGACUCAAACUUUCUUUGGUACCCAUAUUUUCUUGGGUCCAUUGGUAUUAGUAUGAUAUGCGGUUUUUGCCCAUACUUUCUUAACAGGUUUCCAAACCAUAGGACAUUCUUUUUCAAAAUGAUAUGCACUAUUGCAUUUUGAACAUCUGAGAGCAUUGCGACCUACUGGUUUUACAAAGAUCUUUUUAAAAUGAUUUUUGUAAGCAUCUCUUGUGGGUCUUUACUUAAUUCUUUCCUUCACUUUAGGGAAAUCAAUUAAAGGAAUUGUUUCCGUAGUCAUUCCCAAACCAGAUUUAUUGAAAUAAGGUCUUUGAACAGAAAGAAUUUUUUCCAGUUUCUCAGAUCCUAUAGAAAAUCUUUUAGAAAUAUUUGAAAUAUCAUUUUUCAAGAAUGCAUUUUCUUUUGAAAGAUUGCCUUCAUUUUCUUUUAAGGUAGAAAUAUUUUUGUCUAAAACUUUGACCUUUUCUUUUAAAACAUUUUCUUGUUGUUUUAGUGCAGAAUUUUCUCUUUUGAGUUCGGAAAUCCUUUUAAGAGAAGUCUUAAGACUAAAAUACAACUCAUCAAUGUAUUUAGAAACUUUAAUAGGGAUUUUAUAGUUACUCACCUCAAAUUCACUGUCUAAAUCUGAUUCAGUAUCGGAGUUUGAAUCUGAAUCCAAUUGUGCCAUCAGACAUAUAUCGGCAUAAUCAUCAUCACUUUCUUCACACUCUGUAUCACUCUAGGUUUCUGCUUUAAGAGCCUUUCGAUACUUUUCAGCUUUUCCUUUUUUCUUCCUCAGAAGAGGACAGUUGGGUCUGAUGUGUCCCUUUUUCUUACAUUCAAAGCAGACUACAUCUUUGUUCGAUUCAUCAUCCUCAACAGACUUAGUCUGUUGCUUUUGAAAACUCUGUUUCUUUGGAUUGAAUCUUCUUCCUUUUCUGUUCAGCUUUCUGAAUCUUCUUAUCAUGAGAGCAAGCUUCUCAUCAUCCAUAUCGUCUUCAGAAUCUAUAACAUCAUAAUCAUCAUUGGAUUUUAAUGCAAUGGAUUUCUUAUCUUUAGGAUCUUCGUCUUCAUUGAUUCGUUCCACUUCAUAAGACUGAAGAGUUCCAACCAACUCAUUAACAGAUAGUGGCAUGAUUCUUUGUGUCUCUCUUAUUGAGGUCUUUAUGUGAUUCUAAUCCUUGGAGAGUCCACGCAUAAGCUUAUUUACCUUCAUGGGAUCAGAAAUUGGUUAACCUUGAUUUUCAAGACCAUUCACGAUUUCUGUAAAACAACUAAACAUGUCAGUUAUAGAUUCUCCUGAUUUCAUUUUGAAGGCUUCGUAUUGACCAAGGAGAAUAUUGAUUCUGGUCUCUUUCACUCGAUCAGUUCCUUCAUAGGUAAUAUGUAAUCUAUCCCAGACUUCUUUUGCUGUAACACAAGAAGAUAUUCUGUUAUAUUCAGUAGGUGACAAAGUACAAUAUAAAGAAUAAAUUGAUUUUGCAUCAAGAGCUUGUCUCUUGAUUAUUUCUUCCUAAGUCAUUUCACUAAACUCAACAGCUUCUUUUCCUCUCUCUGAGACAGAUGCAGCUUUAGGAAUGAUUCCUUUUUCUACAACGUCCCAUUCCAGAGGAUCCUUUGAUCUUAAAAACGCCUUCAUCGUAUUUUUCCAUAUGUUGUAAUCCUUUCCAUCAAAGUAAGGCGGUCUGGUAUUGCUUUGCUCUUCUACCAGCCCUGGAGCUAACAUACUAGCCAUGGAUCUUUAACUCUGAAGUAAAACACUUCAAACAAAGUGAGUACACAAGCUCUAAUACCAAUUGAGAUAGCUAGUAUAAGUACCUAGAGGGGGUGAAUAGGUGUAAAAAUAAUUUCUCGAGAUAAGAGAGCAAUACUAAGCAGACAAUAGAAAGGAAGUUCUCCUUUGGUUAACAAAACGAAUUAUGAUCAAAGUAAAACAGAGAGUAGGGAAGAGAAAAUUGAACACAAGUUUUAUAGUGGUUCGGCUUAUUCUAAGCCUACGUCCACUCUUCCGCACUGACAGCCCACCGGCUGGAUUUCACUAUGAACAAAAGAGAUGUUACAGCAAAGCUCUCCCUUGAUUCCACAGUGUAGAUAUUCUACUACACUUCCUCAAGAUUUCUCACGAAUAUAGAUUCUCUUUUGCGUACAAGAUUUCGCUAAGCAAAUGAAUUGACUAAGAACAAGGAGCUUCAGACUUUGAAAUUCUUCUAUCGCGCACCCUCUCGAACAACUGGAACGUCUUUCUUAUAUACUCCUUUAUGCCAUCAUACCCGUUGGCACUUACCAAAGGAAUUCCUCUAAUCUACCCGUUGGACGGAAUCAAUUAGAAAGAUCAUUCGAGCUAUUAAAGGAACAUGUCGAUAGCCCAUCAAUCCUGCUCGCCCAUACAAUCAGGAUCUCGGUUUCCAUAAGUAGAACCUUCCAAGUAUACUUCGCCAAUCAUCGGAUCCUUAAUCAAUCUUGAUUCGAAUAAAGGAAUCCGUUAUGUCAUAUCCAGCCAAGAGAUCUUCUCUAGUCGAUAAGGUCAAAUCCUUAAUGAAACACCCAGUUCUGGAUAGUCCUUCUUCAACGAAUUAGAAACUAUCAAUGAGAAUAAAUUUUGAGUCUUGAGUCUAGCAGUCCGGAGGUCUUCAGACUUUAAAUAGCAGAGUCUGCAAAUCUUCAGACUAGACUGAUGGAAACAUGUUAUCAGCUUCAAAAUACUCUAGGAAGAUUUCUCUAGCGCAUCCGAAGUUAAUCAUGCAUCGCCUCCCCAACUCCCGUUGGGUGAUGGGUUCCAAUAGUGAUCACACACACAUCUAUACUUAGCUAAGAACAUCAUGUUUUGCACUUAAAUACCUCAAUUUCAAAUAAUGGACUUGGCCAAUUUUCUUCGUAUAAAAAAUUCCCGAUAAAAUAAUUGCGCGUGGUCACAUAUUUAAAUCGAACAAAUAAGCAUGGUACACUCCCAUUUCAAAAUUCCACAAUUUUAUAUAAUACAUAAAAUUUUGGUGUCAAAAACCGACGUCCGGUAUUUUUCCUAUUUAAAUACCAUAAAAUUGGAUUUUUGCAAUAAUAAUCAAUCACCAUCACCAAACACUAUAUUGCACAAUUAAGCAGUCAAUUUCACAUAUAAAUGCAACCAUGAAGAUCUACGUAAAAUUUCACUAAAUGGCUAUUCCGUCACAAUUUACGCUAAUUAAACUUAAUUAAUUAAAUUACCAUUAAUUAAAUAAAUUACAUAUUAUUUAAACUAAUCAACUCAAUUAAUCUAAAUAAGCUAACCGAACUAACCUAAUUGAGCUAACUAAACUAAUCUAACUAGGCUAACUACAUCAACCUAACUAAGCUAACCAACUAACCUAACUAACCACCCUAAUGGUGGACGUGCAGCAAGGAAAAUGGAGGAUGAACUUGAAAAAGGAAGUGAAGAAGAAGAAGAAAGGAAGAAGAAGCAGAAGUAGAAGCAGGGGUUCGGCUAGGGGGAUGCGCACGCACAAGGAGGGAGAGAAGAGAGGGAAUGAUGGAAAAUUGAAGUCAAAGCUUUGGCCAAUUGGAAGCCUAAUGAAAUAUCUAAACACUCAAGUGCUUUUGCCCCAAAAGUCUUCAGCUAUAGUUGUCAAAGGGUCCUUCAAUGGCUGAAUUUCUUUCAUUUCCUCGCCAAAAUAAGUCAUUUGGGCAACCAAAAAUCACACCAAACCAGUCCAUACGAAUUUCCACUUAAUUUCCAAUUUGUCUCAAAUUCAUUUUUCCGUAAAUUUCCGAGCUCAACGAAAAUUCUUCGAAAAAUGAGACGAUGUCCUAAAAAUAAAUCGUGACACGCUCGAACGUUCGAUUCCCGAAAACAAAUUCAAUUUUGUGGUUAAAAUCGACCAAAUGCAAUUUUAGUAUAACAUAACCUAUCGGGUAGCUUUUAGGGAUUUUAAUGCGUUUGACCCGUGAUCGAUAAUUUUCGAUCCACGUUUGUGCAUCUCCGACCCGUAGACAACUCUCGGUUAUUGUAAAAAUCACAAGAUUUCAAUUACGUGUACCGAGUAUAAAAUCAAUAGAAAAUCAGGCUAGUGUCAUUUGACGUGUAUUUCACAAUCCCAUGCAAUCACCCGCAAUUCAAUUACGUGAUUCUAUCAAAUCAAUCUAUAUCCGAUCAUAAUUCAAUUAUAACUAUGUCGUAUUGACCCUUGCUGAUUAUUAUGGUCGAGCAGUCGAUUUCCAAUUGAAUUCUCAAGUCUGCCACGUUUAUAUCCCUUAACGGCUUAACUUGAUAGGUUAGUUAACUCAUGAGUGGCCAACUCAGAGAGAAAAAGACCAUAGGCGCGUCGACGAAAUGCCCAUUUCAUAUUAUCGGGACGAGAUCAAAUUUCAGAAUGUCACAACUCUUCCUUUGUUAUAACAAUUUCAUCCUUGAAAUUUAAACCAUUACAAUUCUUCUUCAAAAAAGUGGGGAUAUUGACGUCUCAUCAAUUUUUCGCUUUCUCACAUAGCUCAUUCUGUUCUGUGAUAUUGCUAGACCACUUUAACCAAAGAGAUCAUCUUUUUGCGCAGCAUUUGCUUUUUCCGAUCCACUAUCCAAAACGGUCUCUCCACAUACAACACUCUCUCGUCCACGUCUAAUUCCUUAAAAUUCAGCACGUGGGUUGGAUCAUGUUCAUACCUCCUCAACAUUGACACGUGAAAGACAUCAUGCACUUGAGCAAAUCUUGACGACAAUGCGAGACGAUACGCCAAAGUCCCAAUUCGCUCUAGAAUUUCAAAUGGACCGAUGUACCUCGGACUUAACUUCCCUUUCUUGCCGAAGCACGAAGUACCCCUCAUUGACGACACUUUAAGGAAAACAUAUUCACCAACUUGGAAUUCCAAUGGUAUUCGCCGCUUAUCAUCUUCUUCAACGGCCUCACUAGGCUCGAAAAUACUUCCAGUGACAUGACGCCAAAGCUUACAUCCCUUUAGAAAACUUGAUAUUUCUUGAGCCCAUAAUAUGUAGUUUGAUCCACUCAGGAUGGUCUGAAUGGGCAUUGAGACUUCUAAUUUCUCCAUGAUAUGUAAUAUACUAGUAAACUCAACAAAUUCUAUAAAAAAUUUGCAGAAAACUGAUAUCACUAAAGCUAAUAUGGAGAAAAUAAGGUAGAAAAUAGAUUGAGGAUGUCGAAAUACCACAAGAACUAGUCUGGAAAUGCCAAGAACCGAUUGGAAUCAGGCCGAAUUUGUUAGAAAAGCUUGAGAACAGGUCGAAGGCCAAACCAGUUUGAAAACCCUAAGAACCGGUUGGAAUUGGACUGAACCGAUCAUAAAACCCUGAGAACUAAUUGAAAUCUAGUUGAACCAGUCAAAAAUCCUUGGAACCGAUCGGAAUAUGGCCGAACUAGUCGGAAAACCAAGCAAACCAAUCGGAAUAUGGUCGAACCGGUCGAAAAACCAAGCAAACCGGUUGGAAUCUGGUCGAAUCGGUCAUAAAACUAAGCGAAUCAGUCGAAAUCAAGCCGAAUCGGUUAGGUCAACGUCAGUCAGCAAUGCUCGACGGUGGUCAGCGACAGAGGAUGACGUGGUGCUGACGCAUGAUGAAGUGGAUAAUGACGUCACUACUCGACUGACAUGAUGGAUCAUGUGCAAGGCUAGGGCUUGUGGAUCUCCUGCACAGAAGAUAUGGGCGGCGCGUGAGGGCGUGUGGGAGACCUUCUGAUGACGUUUGUUACUGUUUUGGACUCGUCGGAGAAUGUAGAACCUGUUUAUGGUGGUUUUAGCUGAAAUAUUUAAGGAUUGGCUUCGAAAGUUUCACUUAUAGUUUAUGGCGUUGAUGGUCCCGUAGAGCAGCCAAGCGUGGUGGCACAUGCGGCUUUUCUCCAAAUCAAUUGGUGAUGAAUUUUUAAGGUCUAACUCAUUCGAGACGGACGAAUCUAAUGGUUGUGUUAUAAUUUCGAAAUAAGCAACGAAACUAUCUGGGUAGCGAUCACAAGCAACAAUUUGGUGAGGGAUACCGGCACAGCUGCAAUAAUAUUGCCAUUAUUCGGUAAACUGACUCUAAUAUCAUGUUAGAAUUAUGACAAAAUAAAGCGAAAAAAAGAAUUUAUGUAUAUUUUGGUAUGUUUAAUACUGAUGAUACAAGAUCCUAUUUAUAUGCUGCUCUAGACAACUAUUUAAAGUAAUAAAAUAUUACAAUAUUAAAAAGAAUCAAUUAUAAUCAAUUAUGAAAGAUAAAUAUCUCUAACAAUUAUGAUGCGGUUUAAUUUUAAAGAGAAAGCCCAAAAGGUGGCAAAAGAAAAAGGAUAAAAAAGUAAAAGAAAAAAGUUGUACCCAUGACCCUCUAAAAACUACAUUUUCUGGAAUUAUUUGAUUGUUCUUACAGUGUAAUAACGAACUUUGUCCUUCUCUAAUUUCUUUUUCUACGUUUUGAAUGAACUUUAGAUUUCAAUUAUUGAAAGAAUAGCAAAAUAUUUAUUUGAAUUAUGGAAAAGAAUCGGUAUACGUAAAAACGAAAGUAAUCUUGAAUAUUUAGUUUCCCCGUCCUACUAGAGGGGCUGAUAUUCUUUUAAUUAAUUCAUUAUGAAAAUGUACAGGGAAAAAAAGUAGCUUAGCAGUACAAGGGAAACAUGCACGAGUUUAAAAUUAUUCCUCCAAGAAAGAAUUAAUUAAAAGUGUUCAUUUCUAAUUCCCUCAAAAAGAUGACUUAAGUUUGACGUGGAAGAAAACCUAGACAAACAGUUAAGUACAUGGACGUAAGGCAAAGAUACUGACACAUUUAAAUUGGCUUUAGCCACGGCAAGUAUAGAGGAAAAUCCUACCUAAAAUUCUAUAAGUAUUUUCCUGCGGACACUAUUUUGCCAAACUUUUUUCCAUCUAAACAAUACCAUAAAUUUGUAUCAAUGCUAAAAAAAUACUCUAGAAUCACUAUUUGAGCCAUAAUAUCCAUUUAAAAUCCUCCGUGACGCUGACAACACAUGCCUAUCAAAAGGAACCUUGAGGUACUUUUUAGAUCAUUAGUACAAAUUUUGGGUUUUGAUAAGAUAAAAUAAAUUUUGAGAUAGCUAUAUCCCACGGAAUAAAGUUCAAGUUUUUUUGUUCAAUUUAACCCAAAAUAAUGAUAACGAAAAUAUCCUUGUGGAACCCACUAUAUUUACCCUCACCCCGCACCCGCCCCGCCCCCGGGGGCCUUUUCUCUCCCCCCUCAAAAGACAUUCAAGGAGUUUUGACAACCUCAAAAGCUAUCUUACUUUGCUUCUUUUUUUUUGAAAAUAUUAUCUCCAAAAUUUUUAGUCACAAAAUCAGAAUAAGUAAUAAAAAAAAGUCCUAAACAUAUUGUAUUUAUACAAAUUCAAUUAUAAACCUUAUAUUAAUUUAAUCAUAAAUCUUUUGAUAAUUUACUAAUAUAAUCCAUCACCAAUUUUGGCGGUAAUUACUAAUAUGGGCACUAGUCAUCUUACAUGAUAUGACCAAUAUAAUUUUAUAAUUUUUUUAAUAUUCUUCUGAAAUUUUUCUUAUUUUAUUAUUAUUUUCUUUUCUUUCUUUGUUCUUUUUACAACUCUAGGCCACGCAAUGGUUAUGGCUCUCUCCUAAAUCUAGGCAAGGAUCUUACACCCUUCCUUAUGGCCAACGAGGGCACGGAGGCCCUCACCUUUGGGGCGGAUGCCCUCACUUAGACCUUGUCAGCCCACAAUUGCCAAAAAAAAAAAGUAAUAAAAAUUCAACAAAUUGUAAAUUGUCCACGUUAUUUGUAGUCAUGCUACAUGAGAUGGCCAACAAUGAUGUUGGCAAAUCAUCAAAAGUUUUAGGACUCAAUUGACACAAUAGUUUAACAAAAAAAUUAUCACAUUUAAAAAAUUUAAGACUGAAUUAAUAUAAAUGUAAUAGGUUUAGAACUUUUUUUAAUACUUGGCCCAACAAAAUCAGUUGUUAUAAAAGGACAAACUCACGUAAUUGUGGUUCUGAAAGCUACGGAAUUAGUCUUUUAGGAGAGAAAUGUUGAAUGAUAAAAAAACUCAGGAUGAUUCAGGCCUCAUCCUUCAAUUAAAUAAACUAAUCGGAGAUCCCGUGCUUCUCCAUCCCUGUCACCAUCUCUUUUAAACAACAUGGUCAUAACGGAGGGGCGCAACAAGACUAGGACCAAAUUAGGAAUCAAAUUGGGAUGCGCAUGCUUUGCUCAAGUUGUGUGGUUUUAUAUAUUUGCACAUGAGUCAUGUGUUUUGCUGCACAAGUUCUAAAAAUCACAAGAAUUAUUAAUUGUAUGGUUGGCGGCCGUGGGUUGACCUAAUUAUAAUAAGUGUAAUUAUUUACAUUCACUCUUUGGUGUUUACUCCAUAUAGUGAUAAACAAACCCAAGUGAUGGUCACGGAUGAAACAUAACUCGUAUAAUAUCACAUAUCUUACGUGCAAUGAGAGAGAUUGUUAACUACUCCUUAAAUUUGCUGAUCUCAUGUGGAUACGGGUACUUGCUACUUUGAAAGCUUAAGAAAUUAGCUCACUUACAUUAUUGCAUAACUCGUAUAUAAUGGAUGAUUACUUUUUCUUUUUUGUAAAUUUUCUUUUGAAACAGAAUACUUUUUUAUAAUACUUAGGGAAAAUUUCAAAAAGGACCCAAAAUGGAGUGACCACUUAAUCUCAAAUAUGGCCUGAAUGAGCACAUGCAUCUCAAGUGCCCCUUUCCAAGGGCACCAUGGCAGCAUUUUCGGAUUUUUAUGUUUUACUUUUUCUUUUUUACUUUUUCUUUCUUUCUUUUUCUUUCCCAGUCACCUUCUUCUUCGUGACGUCUUUCUUUUCCUUUUUCUUCUCUUAUCUCUCAGUUUUUUUUUUUCAACUGUUGUGCCAGCGAGCUACUGGGCAAGACCAUUGCGGCUCCUCGCCCUCGGCCAGCGGGCCCGGCCUUGCCCAGAUAUGGCUGGCCACCGACAAUAACCAUCAGAUAUCGAGAAUCCUCUGGUGCCGACCGCGUUGCACUGCCACAGGAACACGGAUGCCAAAGCGACAAUCCACAUCACAGAGAGAAGCGUUUUGUGCGAGGAGACGAACCCAACAUUUGGAAUUGAGCGUGUUGCGGUUGAAUCUGGCUAGGCCUACGGUUUCCACCAUAGCUAGACAAGCAGGAGUUGAUUUUGCGCCCAAAACUCGAUUCAACUUCACAAGGCGAGAUUGAUUCAAAAAGAGAGAGCAUCUGCGAAUUGGGAGGAGUAAUUAAGUGAGCUUUAACAUGGGAGAUCGGUUGCGGACAUGACAAUGGACGAAGGUGAGGCACUGCGAUGGUCUGAGUGAGGCCACCUUACCCUAAUCUGAGCCAGCCUCGCCCUCGGCCACAAUGACCUCAAUUGGAUCUAGGUGAGGACCUCGCCAGCCACAGUAAAAAGAAAAAAACAAAAGGAAGAAAAGGAGAAAACAAUGAACAAAGAACAAGAUGAAAGGAAAAAAAAAACAAAAAGACAAGAAAUGGAAAUACCAAGAAUACCCCAUCAUGCCUUUUAUAAGUGACACAGGAUAUGCACAUAUUCAAUUAGACCCUUAUUUGAAAUUAAAGGACAACUUCAAAUCCUUAUUUAAAAUAAAAUUCACUUAAGACUCCCUUUCGAGAAAAUGGAUCUAAUUCAUGCAUUUUCUUUUUGGUUGAAAAUUUCUCUAAUAAUUGAGGAUAUGAUGGAUAUGUUUUUUUUCUCAUUCCCUGUUUAAAGUUAAUAAGACUUGAAGAUCAUAAAUGACCAUUUAUUUCCCCCAUUUGCUUUUGUAGCAACGCGGCCACAGCCACAACUAGAUUUGUGGCUGGAACUACGCGACCACAACGGUACCAGACAACCAGGACAAUCAAAUUUUGAUGUCAUAUCUCCAUCGACAUGGGGUAGAUGAUGCGGGAGCAUCAAAUUUUCAUUGAAGACAAUCAAUUCACAAACCCAACUCAAGUCUCGUCAAUUAACCAAGCCUAAAUUUGAUUUUACGCAAGCAAAGGCAGAUUUCGGCCAUAAUAAAUUGUAAAGGCUUAUUUGGCGGGGCCAAGUUGGAGAGAUGUUUCCCAACUCGAAUGAAUUUCUCAGUUUAAAGUUGAUUUCCUACUUUAAGUAAUUGUCUUAAUUUGAGGUAGUUUUUAAGACUCAAUUAUAUUUUCAUAACAACUUUUAAAAUUUGAUUGCACUUUUUAAAAGUUUAAGAUUUAUUUGCAUUUUCAUUAUCAAUGUUAGGAUUUUUAAUACACCUAUCCCGUGUUUAAAAGGUUGUUGCUAAAGUCAGUUUAGAUGUGACAAUAGCAUCACCGGAAGUCCAACUUGACCAGUUGAAAGAGUCCAAGUUCUAUCUCCAUGGCAAAUUAAUUAUGUUUCUCUAUCUCAAAAGAUCGUAUCUCUCUAGAAAUCAUUGUCUAAUAUUACUCCGACAAUUAUCACGAAUGUUGCGUUAUUUUCUAAUGUGGCAGCACAUAAUUUUCCGCACGUACAUAGACUAUUCUUGGCAUCCAUUAUAGAUCAUCCUUUUUUUUUUCUGAAGUUAUCUUUCAACAACAGUCAAUAAACAUACUUCAAAAUCUUCGCACAAGUCUUCACAUUUCCAGUGAUUGAAAGUGAAAUGCAUACUUGUCAGUUGCCACUAGGGACCGUUACUCUCGUUGGAGACUUCCGACCAUGAACAGGCUAACAGUUGCCACUAGGGACCGUUACUCUCGUUGGAGACUUCCGACCAUGAACAGGCUCGUUAACCGAAACCCACUUAUAAAUGUCUCUAUUCCUACUCUACACUCACUCUCAGACUUUUGCCAUGUCUCUUGCAGGAUGUGGGAGUUGAAACCCACUCUUAAAACUUACGUGUCCCCACCCCAUCCCCCUGAGAAUGUGGGGAUUUGAACCCCUCACCUCCCCCUUCCAUGUUGGAAGGGUGGCCACUGGGGCGAAUCCCAGUGAUUUAAUGAGCCGCCCCUCUAGCUGAAACCUACUCUCCACUCUUGUUGGCAACUCAUCUUAUAAUCAAGAAUCAGAGGAAACAUAUCAUCUGUCUCCGCGACUCAUCCUCUUGAUUGUCAUAAUGGAGACACAGGUGGACAUACGAGGGAGAUCGCUCCUCGUGCCUUGUGUUCACGACAUACUGAAGGCCAACCCAACCACGGUCCCGAAGAGAUUCAUUUGCGACGAUCAAGAGCCUCCUGUGAUCAUGGACGAUUGUUUCGGCUUGCCUCAAGUUCUUGUGAUCGACUUAGGGAGGUUGGUUUCGGAGGACAGUGCCAAGCCGGAGCUCGAGAAGCUGCACCAGGCCUGCAAGGACUGGGGUUUCUUUCAGGUACGAAACAACUUCUGCAUUUCAAAUACAAAGCAUUCAACGAAGUGUCAGAGAAAAAUGGAAAUUCACUGAUUGAAAGAGACUGAAAUACAUGACUCCAUUUAGGCUCUCAACGUCUAAUUUCCAGAAAAUAAAUAAUUAAUCAAAUAAUUACGGAAAAUAAUUAAUAAAUGCCAAGUCCCUUCAAUUUGGUCAAACCGAAAUUCCAUUCGUUUUCCGAAUCGUUUAAAUCGAUUUUCCGUAAAAAUCUUGAACUCGCCAAAAUUUCCUCGAAAAGUGAGUUGACGUUCCUAAAAUGACUCAUGACAUAACAGAACUUUCAAUUUUUGAAAUCGAAUUCAAAUUCGUGGUUAAUUUCAAUCAGAUGCAAUUUUAGUGUGACCUAACAUACCGAGUAGCUUUUAGAAAUUUUUGGUGCAAUUAACUAGUAGUCAAUUUUUUUCGAGCCACGUGUACCUCUUCAACACAUUGGCGACUCUCAGUGGUCGUGAAAAUCUCAAGGUUUCAAAUACAAACAUAGGAUACCCAAAACUACAAAAAAUCGGUCUAGUGCCGAUCGACAAUAAAUUUGCAACAAGGUGGAAUCACCCACACUUUAAUCACACAUCUUAGUUGAAUCAACAUAUCUCUGAUCUCUAAUCGAUUUUUUUUAUUGUGCCGUAAUUGACCCUUGCAAACUAGCACGGUCGAGUAGUCAAUUCAUAGUCGAAUUCUCAAGUCUUUGCAUUAAAAUCCCUUAACGGCUUCACUUAAUAAACUAGUUAUCUCAUGAAUGGCCAUAUUAGAGAAAAACACUAGAGGCGAGUCGAUGAAAAGCCCAACUUAUCCAAUCGAAAUCGGAACUACAUUUUUAGGAUGUCACAAUUAUUUCCCUCUUAAAAAAAAUUUCGCCCUCAAAGGUGGGGUAUCGUCGUCUCUUUAGUUUUCACUUUUCCACGUUGCUUCUUCAGUCCCGUGGUGUUGUCAAGCCACUUUGACCAAGGGGCCAUCUUGGUACACAGAAUCCGCUUUUCUGAUUCACAAUCUGAACCGGGCCUUCCAUGUGCGACACUCUAUCGUCCACGUCUAAUUCUUCAAGAUUCGGCACAUGGGUCGAUUCAGGUUCAUAUGUCCCCAACCUCGACACAUAAAAGACGUCAUGCAUUCACGCCUACUUCGACAGCAAUGCAAGACGGUACGUUAGGAUCCUGAUCCUCUCUCUAGAAUCUCAAAGAGACCUACGUACCUCGGUUUCGGUUUUCCCUCCUUGCCGAAGCGCAAGGUAUCCCUCAUUGGUAACACCUUCAGAAAGAUGUAAUCACCAAUUUGAAACUCUAAGGCCUUCAAUGCUCAACGAUACAUGCUUUUUGGCGACUCUGAGCGGUCUUUAUCUGUCUCUGAUCAUGACAACUGCAAUUACUAGCUUCUGAACUAACUCUAGCUUGUGAUCUUUCUUUCCCUGACUUCAUCCCAACACACUGGCGCUCUGCACACUCUACAAUGCAAUGCUUUGGUCCCGUGGUGUUGUCAGGCCACUUUGACCAAGGGGCCCAUCUUGGUACACAAAAUCUGCUUUACUGAUUCACAAUCUGAAUCGGGCUUUCCAUGUACGACACUCUGUCGUCUACGUCUAAUUCUUCAAGAUUCGGCACGUGGGUUGAUUCAGGCUCAUAUGUCUCCAACCUCGACACAUGAAAGACGUCAUGCAUUCACGCCUACUUCGACAGCAAUGCAAGACGAUACGUUAGGAUCCUAAUCCUCUCUCUAGAAUCUCAUAGGGACCUACGUACCUCGGUUUCGGUUUUCCCUCCUUGCCGAAGCGCAAGGUAUCCCUCAUUGGUGACACCUUCAGAAAGAUGUAAUCACCAAUUUGGAACUCUAAGGCCUUCAAUGCUCAACAAUACAUCUUUUUUGGCGACUCUGAGCGGUCUUUAUCUGUCUCUAAUCACGACAAUUACAAUUACUGGCUGCUGAACUAAAUCUAGCCUGUGAUCUUUUUUUCCCUGACUUCAUCCCAACACACUGGCGCUUUGCACACUCUACAAUGCAUUGCUUCAGAAGGAAUCAUCUGACUGUUCUGCUAAAACUAGGAACCUCGGGUCUAGAUCUAAUAUAAAUUCGUCACUGGCACUAUAUGUAGACGAACUAUUUGACGCACAUACAACUCUGCAUGUAUGUCUAAGUCCAGAUCCUUUCGUACUACCAAGAAGUGAGCCGACUUCGUUAGUUUGUCGACCACAACCUCAAAUGGAAUCAUUACUCAUCUGACUCCUUGGUAAGCCUGUCACAACGUUUCAUCAUGAUAUACUUCAAUUCUCACUCGGGACUCUCGAGUGAUUGUAAAAACCCUCCCGGCUUGCAUUAUUGAACUUCUACUUACUUCCAUUUUCACGAUGCAAGUGCAUGCGGUGUUUUGCUCUAGUUUAUGUGACAACUACAUGUUCCCAAUUUUCUAGUGAGAUAAUUUGACCCCUAUAGUUUAAUUCGACAGUCAUUAACGAAAUAGGUGACUAUCCCAUCCAUGUAUUGGCCCCCAAACCUACAAGUGCCUACCAAUCUAAUCAUGCUUGGAUGAUUCCAAUAUUGCUUAUAUGGAUCUUUUGUCCAAAAGGAAACCCUUUAAUCAAAAAAAUAAUGAGAAGCAAUUAAUACAAUAAUUAAUUAAGCGUGCACAAGACACGGCUGUUUUGUAGUUAGACAUUAUCUCUAAUUAAUUGUCAGACUGAUUUUACGCAUCAUACUACCGCCCGCCCUGGAAUCUCCAUGCGGUUUUGUCGUUUUUUAUUUUCUCAAAAAAAGGUGAUACAUAGAUAACGGAUUGACUGUUCAAGGGUGAGAGGCCUCAACUGCCGGUCAAAUGUUCUUUAAAAUAUUCAGUUAAAGAGGGAUACUCUGAGCACCUCAUCUGUUCAAAGAUACUUUAUUGUAAUGCAAUAUAAUUUUAUAUGAUAUGAUAUGAAGUUUACAUAUUUCUCCAAUAAUUCGAUAGGAGAAAGAACAGUUUCUGAUGGGUCAUUAUACUCGCUGGAUCCUUUCUAGUACGAACGGACUCGUUAACAAAAAAGACUGAGACAUCCCUGUAGCUGAAACACAACUGUGUCACCUACUCUCUCUCUUGUUAGCGUACUUAGCUUUCAUUCAGAACAACCUAUGAUCAGUUUCUGAGAUUUCUCAACCUCUGGGUUGUUGUCAAUGGAGACGCAGUUGAACAUACCAGGGAGGUUGCUCCACAUGCCAUGUGUUCAGGACGUACUGAAGGAGAACCCGACCACGGUCCCGGAGAGAUAUGUCCGCAGCGAUCUAGAGCCUCCCAUGAUCAUGGACGCUUGUUCUGGCUUGCAGGUCCCCGUGAUUGACUUGGGGAGGUUGGUUUCGGAGGACUGCUCGAAGCUAGAGCUCAAGAAGCUGCACCAUGCGUGCAAAGACUGGGGCUUCUUUCAGGUACGAAACAACUUCUGCAUUUGGAACAUGAAGGCUUUGAGAAAGUAUCAGAGAAAAAUGGGUUCAUUGAUUGAAAGAGAUUAAAAUCCACUUAAUUCUCAACUUCUGCGAGGGCCACUAAGCAGACUUAGAUGUACAAUUCUUAGCCACAAUUAUGUGUAGCCUAUGAGAUUUCAUCGGAAAUUUCCUUGUUUUGCUUCCUGGACUCGCUUUUUGCCUCCUAACCAAAUCUAAGUUUUCGCUUUUAUUUUACACUUAGAUGUACUAUUCUGUGCCAUCUUGCCCUGUUUCACCAGAACACUAAAUUGGUCGUUCAAGAUUUCCAACGGAAAAAGAAAGGUGGGAACUUAGAUGAAUUUGGAGAUUUGAGUUCCUCGAUUGUCUCUUUUCUAGAGAAUGCUAAUAAGACAAAUUUAUCUAUUGAAACUUUCUUGAUAUAUGUUGAAAUAAAGGUCUCUUGAUUACUCAGCAAUCAGGAGAUCAGAGCUUUAUCUGUCUUGAUCUCAAAGGAAUGCCUGUUUCUGGGAGAAUCAAGAGUGAUAGCGGUGUGUUAAUAAUUUUCAGCUGAUAAAUCAUGAAGUGAGCCCUAAGUUGAUAGAGGAAGUGAAGAAGGGGACCGAAGAGCUGUUCAACAUGCCAAUGGAAGAGAAGAAGAAGUUUUGGCAGAGAGACGGCGAAUCGGGCGGCUUCGGACAGGCCUUUGUGUUCUCGGAAGACCAAAAGCUUGAUUGGGCUGACAUCUUCCGCAUGUUCACUCUCCCUGCUUCUAUGAGGAAGCCUCACUUAUUUCCCAAACUCCCCCUUCCCUUCAGGUUCUUUCUCUCGGGCCGAAACAUGCAUAGACACCAUAAAACUUUCAUGUGACACUUGUAACAUGUAAGCGAACAUGCAUAAAAUACAAAAUCGCUUGAUUAGAAAAGUGAAACCACAUUAGUAUGACACAUGAUAUAAUGCUACGUGAAUAACUUUUUUGUUGUUGAGGGUUUAGUUUGUGGCGUGUUCCAAAAUAUCCCUUUUAUCGCCUAAAGAAUGAAAUUGUCUACAUGGUAGAGACGAUCUGGACGCCUACUCGAAGGAAACAAAAGCCCUAGCAAUAAAGCUCCUCUACCUCAUGGCGAAGGCCUUAGGAAUGGAAGCAAAGGACCUGGAGGGGGUGUUCGAAGAUGGGAUGCAAUCGAUGAGGAUGAAUUAUUACCCGCCGUGUCCGCAACCCGAGCUCGUGAUGGGCCUAAACUCUCACUCUGAUGGCGACGCGGUUACCAUCCUCCUCCAGGUCAACGAAAUGGAGGGCCUCCAGAUAAGGAAAGAUGGGAAGUGGGUUCCUGUGAAACCUCUCCCCGGUGCUUUCAUCAUCAAUGUUGGAGACGUUGUUGAGGUAAUAGUAUUGCAACAUCAACUUCCACAUUUGACCAUACUGAUAACUUAUUGUCUCACACUCAAAGCCUUCCCUUCAUUGGCCGACAGCAGAUUAUAACAAAUGGGAUUUACCAGAGCAUCGAGCAUCGAGCAACAGUGAAUGCAGUGAAGGAGAGGAUCUCCAUUGCAACGUUCUUCAGUCCGAGAAUGGAUGCUGAGAUCGGUCCUGCGUCGAGCCUCAUCACCUCAGAGACCCCGCCAAUGUUCAGGAGGAUAACAGCGGCAGAACAUCUGAAGGGCUAUCUAUCAAGGGAGCUCAACGGAAAAGCUUAUCUCGACGCCAUGAGGGUUCAGAACAACGAAACCUAGAAGAGACGAGUUCUAUCUAUUGAGUAUGAAUGUGAAAAUGGUGAUACGUAUAAUGGUGAUGCAACCUGAUUAUAUGAUAUCGGUUUGAUAUUUAGGGAGGUCCUUUUUGAGAAAGACAAUAAUGACUUGAAAAAACUUAUUUUGAAUCUCAUCUAUUGCUUGUCUGAACUAUCAAACAGUCUUCUAAAAUCCAAGGCAUUAAUUUUUUGCUC
rnacentral:lncRNA from 1 species